UACGGAGGGGGCUAGCGUUGUUCGGAAUUACUGGGCGUAAAGCGUGCGCAGGCGGCUGUGCAAGACAGAUGGGAAAUCCCCGGGCUUAACCUGGGAACUGCAUUUGUGACUGCACGGCUAGAGUGUGUCAGAAGGGGGUAGAAUUCCACGUGUAGCAGUGAAAUGCGUAGAUAUGUGGAGGAAUACCGAUGGCGAAGGCAGCCCCCUGGGAUAACACUGACGCUCAUGCACGAAAGCGUGGGGAGCAAACAGG
rnacentral:rRNA from 1 species